GCUACAGUCUACUUCUGUGUCUUAAGAAUGAGGUCUGAGACCACCACAUCACUGUGUCUGCAAAUCCUUAUUAUCACAGGUAAGGGAGAUCAGUAUUAUACUCUCAGUAUCACAGGUAAAGGGGAUCAUUAUAAUUCCCUCAGUAUCAGAGGUAAGGGAGAUCAGUAUUAUACCCUCAGUAUCCAUGGUAAGGGGGAUCAUUAUAAUACCCUCAGUAUCCAUGGUAAGGGGGAACAUUAUAAUACUCUCAGUAUCCCAGGUGGGGGGGAUCAUUAUAAUACUCUCAGUAUCCCAGGUGGGGGGGAUCAUUAUAAUACUCUCAGUAUCACAGGUGGGGGGGGAUCAUUAUAAUACUCCCAGUAUCCCAGGUAAGGGAGAUCAUUAUAAUACCCUCAGUAUCUCAGGUAAGGAACAUCAUUAUAAUACCCUCAGUAUCUCAGGUAAGGGAGAUCAUUAUAAUACCCUCAGUAUCCCAGGUAAGGGGGAUCAUUAUAAUACCCUCAGUAUCCAAGGUAAGGGGGAUCAUUAUAAUACCCUCAGUAUCCCAGGUAAGGGGGAUCAUUAUAAUACCCUCAGUAUCCCAGGUAAGGGGGAUCAUUAUAAUACCCUCAGUAUCCCAGGUAAGGGAGAUCUCAGUAUCCCAGGUAAGGGAGAUCUCAGUAUCCCAGGUAAAGGGGAACAUUAUAAUACUCUCAGUAUCCCAGGUGGGGGGGAUCAUUAUAAUACUCUCAGUAUCACAGGUGGGGGGGGAUCAUUAUAAUACUCCCAGUAUCCCAGGUAAGGGAGAUCAUUAUAAUACUCUCAGUAUCCCAGGUAAGGGAGAUCAUUAUAAUACCCUCAGUAUCCCAGGUAAGGGAGAUCAUUAUAAUACUCCCAGUAUCCCAGGUAAGGGAGAUCAUUAUAAUACUCCCAGUAUCCCAGGUAAGGGAGAUCAUUAUAAUACUCCCAGUAUCCCAGGUAAGGGAGAUCAUUAUAAUACUCCCAGUAUCCCAGGUAAGGGAGAUCAUUAUAAUACUCCCAGUAUCCCAGGUAAGGGAGAUCAUUAUAAUACUCUCAGUAUCCCAGGUAAGGAACAUCAUUAUAAUACCCUCAGUAUCCCAGGUAAGGGAGAUCAUUAUAAUACCCUCAGUAUCCCAGGUAAGGGAGAUCAUUAUAAUACUCCCAGUAUCUCAGGUAAGGGAGAUCAUUAUAAUACUCCCAGUAUCCCAGGUAAGGGAGAUCAUUAUAAUACUCCCAGUAUCCCAGGUAAGGGAGAUCAUUAUAAUACUCCCAGUAUCCCAGGUAAGGGAGAUCAUUAUAAUACUCCCAGUAUCCCAGGUAAGGGAGAUCAUUAUAAUACUCCCAGUAUCUCAGGUAAGGGAGAUCAUUAUAAUACUCCCAGUAUCCCAGGUAAGGGAGAUCAUUAUAAUACUCCCAGUAUCCCAGGUAAGGGAGAUCAUUAUAAUACUCCCAGUAUCCCAGGUAAGGGAGAUCAUUAUAAUACUCCCAGUAUCCCAGGUAAGGGAGAUCAUUAUAAUACUCCCAGUAUCCCAGGUAAGGGAGAUCAUUAUAAUACUCUCAGUAUCUCAGGUAAGGAACAUCAUUAUAAUACCCUCAGUAUCUCAGGUAAGGAACAUCAUUAUAAUACCCUCAGUAUCUCAGGUAAGGAACAUCAUUAUAAUACCCUCAGUAUCCCAGGUAAGGGAGAUCAUUAUAAUACUCUCAGUAUCUCAGGUAAGGGAGAUCAUUAUAAUACCUCAGUAUCUCAGGUAAGGAACAUCAUUAUAAUACCCUCAGUAUCUCAGGUAAGGAACAUCAUUAUAAUACCCUCAGUAUCCCAGGUAAGGGAGAUCAUUAUAAUACUCUCAGUAUCUCAGGUAAGGGAGAUCAUUAUAAUACUCCCAGUAUCCCAGGUAAGGGAGAUCAUUAUAAUAGUCCCAGUAUCCCAGGUAAGGGAGAUCAUUAUAAUACUCCCAGUAUCCCAGGUAAGGGAGAUCAUUAUAAUACUCCCAGUAUCCCAGGUAAGGGAGAUCAUUAUAAUACUCUCAGUAUCUCAGGUAAGGAACAUCAUUAUAAUACCCUCAGUAUCUCAGGUAAGGAACAUCAUUAUAAUACCCUCAGUAUCCCAGGUAAGGGAGAUCAUUAUAAUACUCUCAGUAUCUCAGGUAAGGGAGAUCAUUAUAAUACCCUCAGUAUCCCAGGUAAGGGGGAUCAUUAUAAUACCCUCAGUAUCCCAGGUAAGGGGGAUCAUUAUAAUACCCUCAGUAUCCCAGGUAAGGGGGAUCAUUAUAAUACCCUCAGUAUCCCAGGUAAGGGAGAUCAUUAUAAUACUCUCAGUAUCUCAGGUAAGGGAGAUCAUUAUAAUACCCUCAGUAUCUCAGGUAAGGGAGAUCAUUAUAAUACCCUCAGUAUCCCAGGUAAGGGAGAUCAUUAUAAUACUCCCAGUAUCCCAGGUAAGGGAGAUCAUUAUAAUACCCUCAGUAUCCCAGGUAAGGGGGAUCAUUAUAAUACCCUCAGUAUCUCAGGUAAGGGAGAUCAUUAUAAUACCCUCAGUAUCUCAGGUAAGGGAGAUCAUUAUAAUACCCUCAGUAUCUCAGGUAAGGGAGAUCAUUAUAAUACCCUCAGUAUCUCAGGUAAGGGAGAUCAUUAUAAUACCCUCAGUAUCUCAGGUAAGGGAGAUCAUUAUAAUACCCUCAGUAUCUCAGGUAAGGAACAUCAUUAUAAUACCCUCAGUAUCCCAGGUAAGGGAGAUCAUUAUAAUACCCUCAGUAUCUCAGGUAAGGGAGAUCAUUAUAAUACCCUCAGUAUCCCAGGUAAGGGAGAUCAUUAUAAUACCCUCAGUAUCUCAGGUAAGGGAGAUCAUUAUAAUACCCUCAGUAUCUCAGGUAAGGAACAUCAUUAUAAUACCCUCAGUAUCUCAGGUAAGGGAGAUCAUUAUAAUACCCUCAGUAUCCCAGGUAAGGGAGAUCAUUAUAAUACCCUCAGUAUCUCAGGUAAGGGAGAUCAUUAUAAUACCCUCAGUAUCUCAGGUAAGGGGGAUCAUUAUAAUACCCUCAGUAUCUCAGGUAAGGGAGAUCAUUAUAAUACCCUCAGUAUCUCAGGUAAGGAAGAUCAUUAUAAUACCCUCAGUAUCUCAGGUAAGGGAGAUCAUUAUAAUACCCUCAGUAUCCCAGGUAAGGGAGAUCAUUAUAAUACCCUCAGUAUCCCAGGUAAGGGAGAUCAUUAUAAUACCCUCAGUAUCCCAGGUAAGGGAGAUCAUUAUAAUACCCUCAGUAUCUCAGGUAAGGGAGAUCAUUAUAAUACUCUCAGUAUCCCAGGUAAGGGAGAUCAUUAUAAUACCCUCAGUAUCCCAGGUAAGGGAGAUCAUUAUAAUACUCUCAGUAUCCCAGGUAGAGGAUCAUAUAAUACCACCAGUAUCUCAGUAGGAACAUCAUUAUAAUACUCUCAGUAUCUCAGGUAGGGAGAUCAUUAUAAUACCUCAGUAUCUCAGAGUAAGGAGAUCAUUAUAAUACCCUCAAUUAUCCCAGGUAAGGGGGAGAUCAUUAUAAUACCCUCAGUAUCUCAGGUAAGGGAGAUCAUUAUAAUACCCUCAGUAUCUCAGGUAAGGGAGAUCAUUAUAAUACUCUCAGUAUCCCAGGUAAGGGGGAUCAUUAUAAUACCCUCAGUAUCUCAGGUAAGGAACAUCAUUAUAAUACUCUCAGUAUCUCAGGUAAGGGAGAUCAUUAUAAUACCCUCAGUAUCUCAGGUAAGGAACAUCAUUAUAAUACUCUCAGUAUCUCAGGUAAGGGAGAUCAUUAUAAUACCCUCAGUAUCUCAGGUAAGGGGGAUCAUUAUAAUACCCUCAGUAUCCAAGGUAAGGGGGAUCAUUAUAAUACCCUCAGUAUCCCAGGUAAGGGGGAUCAUUAUAAUACCCUCAGUAUCCCAGGUAAGGGGGAUCAUUAUAAUACCCUCAGUAUCCCAGGUAAGGGAGAUCUCAGUAUCCCAGGUAAGGGAGAUCUCAGUAUCCCAGGUAAAGGGGAACAUUAUAAUACUCUCAGUAUCCCAGGUGGGGGGGAUCAUUAUAAUACUCUCAGUAUCACAGGUGGGGGGGGAUCAUUAUAAUACUCCCAGUAUCCCAGGUAAGGGAGAUCAUUAUAAUACUCUCAGUAUCCCAGGUAAGGGAGAUCAUUAUAAUACCCUCAGUAUCCCAGGUAAGGGAGAUCAUUAUAAUACUCCCAGUAUCCCAGGUAAGGGAGAUCAUUAUAAUACUCCCAGUAUCCCAGGUAAGGGAGAUCAUUAUAAUACUCCCAGUAUCCCAGGUAAGGGAGAUCAUUAUAAUACUCCCAGUAUCCCAGGUAAGGGAGAUCAUUAUAAUACUCCCAGUAUCCCAGGUAAGGGAGAUCAUUAUAAUACUCUCAGUAUCCCAGGUAAGGAACAUCAUUAUAAUACCCUCAGUAUCCCAGGUAAGGGAGAUCAUUAUAAUACCCUCAGUAUCCCAGGUAAGGGAGAUCAUUAUAAUACCCUCAGUAUCCCAGGUAAGGGAGAUCAUUAUAAUACCCUCAGUAUCCCAGGUAAGGGAGAUCAUUAUAAUACUCCCAGUAUCUCAGGUAAGGGAGAUCAUUAUAAUACUCCCAGUAUCCCAGGUAAGGGAGAUCAUUAUAAUACUCCCAGUAUCCCAGGUAAGGGAGAUCAUUAUAAUACUCCCAGUAUCCCAGGUAAGGGAGAUCAUUAUAAUACUCCCAGUAUCCCAGGUAAGGGAGAUCAUUAUAAUACUCCCAGUAUCCCAGGUAAGGGAGAUCAUUAUAAUACUCCCAGUAUCCCAGGUAAGGGAGAUCAUUAUAAUACUCCCAGUAUCUCAGGUAAGGGAGAUCAUUAUAAUACUCCCAGUAUCCCAGGUAAGGGAGAUCAUUAUAAUACUCCCAGUAUCCCAGGUAAGGGAGAUCAUUAUAAUACUCCCAGUAUCCCAGGUAAGGAGAUCAUUAUAAUACUCUCAGUAUCUCAGGUAAGAACAUCAUUAUAAUACCCUCAGUAUCUCAGGUAGAACAUCAUUAUAAUACCCUCAGUAUCUCAGGUAGGAACAUCAUUAUAAUACCCUCAGUAGUAUCCCAGGUAAGGAGAUCAUUACUAAUACUUUCUAGUAUCUCAGGUAGAGAAUCAUUAUAACUCCCAGUAUCCAGGUAAGGAGAUCAUUAUAAUACUCCCAGUAUUAUCCCAAUUGCAGGGAGGAUCAUUAUAGCUACUCCAGUAUCCCAGGUAGGGAAGUCAUUAUAAUACUCCCAGUAUCCCAGGUAAGGGGAGAUGGUAUAAUACUCUCAGUAUCUCAGGUAAGGAACAUCAUUAUAAUAAUACCCUCAGUAUCUCAGGUAAAGGAACAUCAUUAUAGCCACCCUCGGUAUCAGGUAAGGGAGAUCAUUAUAAUACUCUCAGUAUCCCAGGUAAGGGAGAUCAUUAUAAUACCCUCAGUAUCCCAGGUAAGGGAGAUCAUUAUAAUACUCCCAGUAUCCCAGGUAAGGGAGAUCAUUAUAAUACUCCCAGUAUCCCAGGUAAGGGAGAUCAUUAUAAUACUCUCAGUAUCCCAGGUAAGGAACAUCAUUAUAAUACCCUCAGUAUCUCAGGUAAGGGAGAUCAUUAUAAUACCCUCAGUAUCCCAGGUAAGGGAGAUCAUUAUAAUACCCUCAGUAUCCCAGGUAAGGGAGAUCAUUAUAAUACCCUCAGUAUCCCAGGUAAGGGAGAUCAUUAUAAUACCCUCAGUAUCCCAGGUAAGGGAGAUCAUUAUAAUACCCUCAGUAUCCCAGGUAAGGGGGAUCAUUAUAAUACCCUCAGUAUCCCAGGUAAGGGGGAUCAUUAUAAUACCCUCAGUAUCCCAGGUAAGGGAGAUCAUUAUAAUACUCUCAGUAUCCCAGGUAAGGGAGAUCAUUAUAAUACCCUCAGUAUCCCAGGUAAGGGGGAUCAUUAUAAUACCCUCAGUAUCUCAGGUAAGGGAGAUCAUUAUAAUACCCUCAGUAUCUCAGGUAAGGGAGAUCAUUAUAAUACCCUCAGUAUCUCAGGUAAGGGAGAUCAUUAUAAUACCCUCAGUAUCCCAGGUAAGGGAGAUCAUUAUAAUACCCUCAGUAUCUCAGGUAAGGGAGAUCAUUAUAAUACCCUCAGUAUCUCAGGUAAGGGAGAUCAUUAUAAUACCCUCAGUAUCUCAGGUAAGGGAGAUCAUUAUAAUACCCUCAGUAUCUCAGGUAAGGGAGAUCAUUAUAAUACUCUCAGUAUCCCAGGUAAGGGGGAUCAUUAUAAUACCCUCAGUAUCUCAGGUAAGGAACAUCAUUAUAAUACUCUCAGUAUCUCAGGUAAGGGAGAUCAUUAUAAUACCCUCAGUAUCUCAGGUAAGGAACAUCAUUAUAAUACUCUCAGUAUCUCAGGUAAGGGAGAUCAUUAUAAUACCCUCAGUAUCUCAGGUAAGGGGGAUCAUUAUAAUACCCUCAGUAUCCAAGGUAAGGGGGAUCAUUAUAAUACCCUCAGUAUCCCAGGUAAGGGGGAUCAUUAUAAUACCCUCAGUAUCCCAGGUAAGGGGGAUCAUUAUAAUACCCUCAGUAUCCCAGGUAAGGGGGAUCAUUAUAAUACCCUCAGUAUCUCAGGUAAGGGGGAUCAUUAUAAUACCCUCAGUAUCCCAGGUAAGGGAGAUCAUUAUAAUACCCUCAGUAUCCAUGGUAAGGGGGAUCAUUAUAAUACCCUCAGUAUCCAUGGUAAGGGGGAUCAUUAUAAUACCCUCAGUAUCCCAGGUAAGGGGGAUCAUUAUAAUACCCUCAGUAUCCCAGGUAAGGGAGAUCAUUAUAAUACCCUCAGUAUCCAUGGUAAGGGGGAUCAUUAUAAUACCCUCAGUAUCUCAGGUAAGCAGGGACGUAUUAGCCGCGAGGCAAACAAGGCAUUUGCCUUGGGCGGCAUUUUUCAAGGCAAAUGCCCAGGGCAGAUGCCUUGUUUGCCUUGCGGCUAACUGACAUCCCGGGCGGCCGGCGAGGGAGCACUUCCCAUGAGCUGACUGCUCAGCUCCCUCGCGCACCGCAAAGUGAGGCUGGGAGCCGGAAGAUGACGUCAUCUUCCGGUUCCCAGCCUCACUCUGCAGCCGACGCGCGAGAGAGCUGAGCAGUCAGCUCAUGGGAAGUGCUCCCUCGCCGGCCGCCCGCCCGCCAGCCAGCGCCGCCCGCCCUGCAGCCACUGGACCACCAGGGAGAGAGAGACCCCCCCCCCCCAGCACUCCCAAAGGUAAGGAGGUUGGGGGGGGAUUUAAAUUAAAAAAAAAGUUAAUGUGUGUUUGUGUCUGACUGUGUGUGUGACUGUGUGUGUGUUUGUCUGACUGUGUAUGUGUCUGACUCUGUGUGUGUCUGAGUGUGUGUGUUUGUGUGUGUGUGUGUCUGACUGUGUGUGUGUGUUUGUGUCUGACUGUGUUUGUGAGUGUGUGUUUGUGUGUGUCUGACUGUGUGUGUUUGUUUGUGUCUGACUGUGUUUGUGUCUGACUGUGUGUGUGUAUGUGACUGUGUGUGUCUGUGUGUGUUUGUGUCUGACUGUGUGUGUCUGUGUGUGUGUGUCUGACUGUGUCUGUGUAUGUGUCUGACUGUGUGUGUGUGUGUAUUUAGAAGGUGGGGCGGGGGGAAGGGUUGGGUGGCGCGGGGGGGAGGGGGGCGCCUGAGUUUUGUCCUGCCUAGGGCAGCACAAAACCAGGAUACACCACUGCAGGUAAGGGGACUCAUACCGAGCUCAGGUUUAAAUUCACACAGUAUAUUGUAAAUAGAAAGUGAAACAGCGGUCAUUCAUAAAUAAGCAUAUUAAACCAAUUACUGCUAACUGUCUUCCAGUUGGAUACGUGCAAAUACUACAGGCAAAAUGAUACGCAGUAUUAUGUAUUAUAUAUAAACUGAGCUACCACAUUACAGAGCUCCACAGCUGUAAAACUCACAGUAAUAUGCAGUGUGUACGAGUGGAUCAGAGAGCUCCACAGCUGUAAAACUCACAGUAAUAUGCAGUGUGUGUGGGGGUAUCACAGAGCUCCACAACUGUAAAACUCACAGUAAUGUGCAGUGUGUAUGAGUGGAUCAGAGAACUCCACAGCAAUAAAACUCACAGUAAUAUGCAGUGUGUACGAGUGGAUCAGAGAGCUCCACAGCUGUAAAACUCCCAGUAAUAUGCAGUGUGUAUGAGUGGAUCACAGAGCUCCAAGGCAAUAAAACUCACGGUAAUAUGCAGUGUGUAUGGGGGUAUCACAGAGCUCCACAGCUGUAAAACUCACAGUAAUAUGCAGUGUGUAUGGGGGUAUCACAGAGCUCAACAGCUGUAAAACUCACAGUAAUAUGCAGUGUGUACGAGUGGAUCAGAGAGCUCCACAGCUGUAAAACUCACAGUAAUGUGCAUUGUGUAUGAUUGGAUCACAGAGCUCCUCCACAAUAAAAGUACCAGUAAUGUUCAUAGUGGUUUAUCACAGAGCUCCAUUGCUAAAAAAAAAACCCAAGAGUAAUGUGAAUUUUGCACAACAGUAUCAUAGAGCUCCACUGCAAAAAAGCAAUAUAAUGUGUAUUGGCUGGAUGUGUGUUCUGUCCCCUCUUCUGCUUUCCUUUUUUGCUAAUGUGAUAAUAAAGAUUCCCGGAGGUCCAUCAAGUGAUAAUAAUGAUUUCCCGGUGGUCCAGCAAGUGAUAAUAAUGCUUCCCUGGUGGUCCAGCAAGUGAUAAUAAUGAUUCCCCAGUAGGUCCAGCAAGUGAUAAUAAUGGUUCCCUGAUGGUCCAGCAAGUGAUAAUAAUGCUUCCCUGGUGGUCCAGCAAAUGAUAAUAAUGCUUCCCUGAUGGUGCAGCAAGUGAUAAUAAUGCUUCCCUGGUGGUCCAGCAAGUGAUAAUAAGGAUUCCCCAGUAGGUCCAGCAAGUGAUGAUAAUGAUUCCCUGGUAGCCUAGCAAGUGAUGAUAAUGAUUCCCUGGUGGCCUAGCAAGUGAUGAUAAUGAUUACCUGCUGGUCCAGCAAGUGAUGAUAAUGAUUCCCUGGUGGCCUAGCAAGUGAUAAUAAUGAUUCCCUGGUGGUCCAGUGAUGGAGUUUGGUGGAGUGUUUUUUGGUCAUGUAUGGCAGGAGAUUUGUUUUACAUAGCUGGAAAGUGUAAGGAUGAAUAUAUUUCACUUGCAAAACCAAAGAAAAACAUCUUAGACAUGCUGUGUUUAGGACGGAGAGGUUGGUUUUCAAGCAGGGUAAGUGGCCCGAGGUUUGGGGACUCUGCAAACCUGGCUAUCUGAGAGGUUGGUUAUGCACUUAGAAUGAACAUUAAAAUACAAUUAUUUAUUCUCUUAAUUUUUCACUCUCUCCCAGGUUCGGUUUGUGCUCUUUCCAUUUCUGCCAGCCAGUUAUCUAUAGAUGAAUAUGAGGGCAGCUCUGUCGUUCUGUCAACAUCCUACAGUCUGACCAAUCCAAAGGAUGUUCUCCGGAUAAAAUGGGAAUUGGACGGGACUUCGCCCACUACUCUCGGCGUAUGCACCAAAAAGGAAAACUCUACCUCACAUUUCCCAUCAAGCGGUUAUGAGCGAAGGAUGCGUGUCGUGCCAGAGAAUGGGUCUCUAAUCAUUAACCGACUGCAAAAGAAAGACAGUGGAAAAUAUAGAGUAACGAUAUAUGAUGCUUCUCAGUCUGACUCCGUUACCAUCACCGUCACUGUGCUGGAG
rnacentral:lncRNA from 1 species